rnacentral:rRNA from 1 species
UACGUAGGGUGCGAGCGUUAAUCGGAAUUACUGGGCGUAAAGCGCGCGUAGGCGGCUUUGUAAGUUAGAGGUGAAAGCCCGGGGCUCAACCCCGGAAUUGCCUUUAAGACUGCAUCGCUUGAAUCCGGGAGAGGUGAGUGGAAUUCCGAGUGUAGAGGUGAAAUUCGUAGAUAUUCGGAAGAACACCAGUGGCGAAGGCGGCUCACUGGACCGGCAUUGACGCUGAGGUGCGAAAGCGUGGGGAGCAAACAGG